rnacentral:rRNA from 1 species
UACGUAGGGGGCAAGCGUUGUCCGGAAUUAUUGGGCGUAAAGCGCGCGCAGGCGGUUGAUUAAGUUUGGUGUUUAAGCCCGGGGCUCAACCCCGGUUCGCACUGAAAACUGAUCGACUUUGAGUGUAGGAGAGGAAAGUGGAAUUCCACGUGUAGCGGUGAAAUGCGUAGAGAUGUGGAGGAACACCAGUGGCGAAGGCGACUUUCUGGCCUAUAACUGACGCUGAGG